rnacentral:lncRNA from 1 species
GUUAGUGGAAAUUGUUUAAAUAUUAAGUAUUGAGAGAGAGUGUAUUGCCAAAAAAGGUAUGAGACAUUUGGAGUGAGACGUCUCAUUAUGGAAAGUGGGACAUUUGGAGCGGGAUGGAGGGAAUAUUUGUUUGUGGUUGCUCCUUCUCUUUUAAGACUUGUUUUUUUUUUUUUUUUAGUCUAAAAAUUGUGGAUUUUUCGAAUGACACGAUGAACCGAUGUGUGAGAGAGCUAGGGAAGUUAUAAAUG